rnacentral:rRNA from 1 species
AUAUCAAUAAGCGGAGGAAAAGAAACCAACAGGGAUUGCCCUAGUAACGGCGAGUGAAGCGGCAACAGCUCAAAUUUGAAAUCUGGCCUCGUGCCCGAGUUGUAAUUUGCAGAGGCCCGUUGGGCGCGGUAACUGCUGAGUCCCCUGGAAUGGGGCGCCACAGAGGGUGAGAGCCCCGUACGGCGGUAGUCCAAGCCCAUGUAUCGGUCCCUCGACGAGUCGAGUAGUUUGGGAAUGCUGCUCAAAAUGGGAGGUAAAUUUCUUCUAAAGCUAAAUACUGGCCAGAGACCGAUAGCGCACAAGUAGAGUGAUCGAAAGAUGAAAAGCACUUUGAAAAGAGGGUUAAAAAGUACGUGAAAUUGCUGAAAGGGAAGCGCCUAUGACCAGACUUGCGCCCGGUUGAUCAUCCAGCGUUCUCGCUGGUGCACUCUGCCGGGCACAGGCCAGCAUCGGCUUCGGCGGGGGCAUAAAAGCUUCGGGAAUGUGGCUCCUCCGGGAGUGUUAUAGCCCGUCGCUGAAUACCCUCGCCGGGGCCGAGGACCGCGCAUUGCAAGGAUGCUGGCGUAAUGGUCAUCAGCGA